rnacentral:rRNA from 1 species
UACAGAGACUGCAAGCGUUAUUCGGAUUCACUGGGCGUAAAGGGUGCGUAGGCGCCCGGUAAGUCAGUGGUGAAAGCCUCCAGCUCAACUGGAGAACUGCCAUUGAUACUGCCGGGCUUGAGUACAGACGAGGUUGGCGGAAUUGAUUGUGUAGCGGUGAAAUGCAUAGAUACAAUCAAGAACUCCGAUUGCGUAGGCAGCUAACUAGGCUGUAACUGACGCUGAGGCACGAAAGCGUGGGGAGCGAACAGG